rnacentral:rRNA from 1 species
AAUCAACGCUGGCGGCGUGCCUAACACAUGCAAGUCGCACGAGAAAGGGCAGCAAUGCCUGAGUACAGUGGCGCACGGGUGAGUAACACGUGAAUGAUCUACCUCCGAGUGGGGAAUAACUGAGAGAAAUCUUAGCUAGUACCGCAUAACACUUACGAGUCAAAGCAGCAAUGCGCUUGGAGAGGAGUUCGCGGCAGAUUAGAGUUGGCGGGGUAAUGGCCCACCAAGACGAUGAUCUGUAUCCGGCCUGAGAGGGCGCACGGACACACUGGAACUGAAACACGGUCCAGACUCCUACGGGAGGCAGCAGUGGGGAAUUUUGCGCAAUGGGGGAAACCCUGACGCAGCAACGCCGCGUGGAGGAUGAAAUCCCUU